rnacentral:rRNA from 1 species
GACGAACGCUGGCGGCGCGCCUAACACAUGCAAGUCGAACGAGCGAGAGGAGGUUUACUUUCUCAAGCGAGUGGCGAACGGGUGAGUAACGCGUGAGGAACCUGCCUCAAAGAGGGGGACAACAGUUGGAAACGACUGCUAAUACCGCAUAAGCCCACGACCCGGCAUCGGGUAGAGGGAAAAGGAGCAAUCCGCCUUGAGAUGGCCUCGCGUCCGAUUAGCUAGUUGGUGAGGUAAUGGCCCACCAAGGCGACGAUCGGUAGCCGGACUGAGAGGUUGAACGGCCACAUUGGGACUGAGACACGGCCCAGACUCCUACGGGAGGCAGCAGUGGGGAAUAUUGCACAAUGGGGGAAACCCUGAUGCAGCGACGCCGCGUGGAGGAAGAAGGUCUUCGGAUUGUAAACUCCUGUUGUUGAGGAAGAUAAUGACGGUACUCAACAAGGAAGUGACGGCUAACUACGUGCCAGCAGCCGCGGUAAACGUAGGUCACAAGCGUUGUCCGGAAUUACUGGGUGUAAAGGGAGCGCAGGCGGGAAGACAAGUUGGAAGUGAAAUCCAUGGGCUCAACCAUGAACUGCUUUCAAAACUGUUUUUCUUGAGUAGUGCAGAGGUAGGCGGAAUUCCCGGUGUAGCGGUGGAAUGCGUAGAUAUCGGGAGGAACACCAGUGGCGAAGGCGGCCUACUGGGCACCAACUGACGCUGAGGCUCGAAAGUGUGGGUAGCAAACAGGAUUAGAUACCCUGGUAGUCCACCCUGUAAACGAUGAUUACUAAGUGUUGGAGGAUUGACCCCUUCAGUGCCGCAGUUAACACAAUAAGUAAUCCACCUGGGGAGUACGACCGCAAGGUUGAAACUCAAAGGAAUUGACGGGGGCCCGCACAAGCAGUGGAGUAUGUGGUUUAAUUCGACGCAACGCGAAGAACCUUACCAAGUCUUGACAUCCUGCGACGGUUCUGGAAACAGAACUUUCCUUCGGGACGCAGAGACAGGUGGUGCAUGGUUGUCGUCAGCUCGUGUCGUGAGAUGUUGGGUUAAGUCCCGCAACGAGCGCAACCCUUAUGGUCAGUUACUACGCAAGAGGACUCUGGCCAGACUGCCGUUGACAAAACGGAGGAAGGUGGGGAUGACGUCAAAUCAUCAUGCCCUUUAUGACUUGGGCUACACACGUACUACAAUGGCGUUAAACAAAGAGAAGCAAGACCGCGAGGUGGAGCAAAACUCAGAAACAACGUCCCAGUUCGGACUGCAGGCUGCAACUCGCCUGCACGAAGUCGGAAUUGCUAGUAAUCGCAGAUCAGCAUGCUGCGGUGAAUACGUUCCCGGGCCUU